rnacentral:rRNA from 1 species
GGUUAAGCGACUAAGCGUACACGGUGGAUGCCCUGGCAGUCAGAGGCGAUGAAGGACGUGCUAAUCUGCGAUAAGCGUCGGUGAGGUGAUAUGAACCGUUAUAACCGGCGAUUUCCGAAUGGGGAAACCCAGUGUGUUUCGACACACUAUCAUUAACUGAAUCCAUAGGUUAAUGAGGCGAACCGGGGGAACUGAAACAUCUAAGUACCCCGAGGAAAAGAAAUCAACCGAGAUUCCCCCAGUAGCGGCGAGCGAACGGGGAGGAGCCCAGAGCCUGAAUCAGUGUGUGUGUUAGUGGAAGCGUCUGGAAAGGCGUGCGAUACAGGGUGACAGCCCCGUACACAAAAAUGCACAUAUUGUGAGCUCGAUGAGUAGGGCGGGACACGUGGUAUCCUGUCUGAAUAUGGGGGGACCAUCCUCCAAGGCUAAAUACUCCUGACUGACCGAUAGUGAACCAGUACCGUGAGGGAAAGGCGAAAAGAACCCCGGCGAGGGGAGUGAAAAAGAACCUGAAACCGUGUACGUACAAGCAGUGGGAGCCUCUUAAUGGGGUGACUGCGUACCUUUUGUAUAAUGGGUCAGCGACUUAUAUUCUGUAGCAAGGUUAACCGAAUAGGGGAGCCGAAGGGAAACCGAGUCUUAACUGGGCGUUAAGUUGCAGGGUAUAGACCCGAAACCCGGUGAUCUAGCCAUGGGCAGGUUGAAGGUUGGGUAACACUAACUGGAGGACCGAACCGACUAAUGUUGAAAAAUUAGCGGAUGACUUGUGGCUGGGGGUGAAAGGCCAAUCAAACCGGGAGAUAGCUGGUUCUCCCCGAAAGCUAUUUAGGUAGCGCCUCGUGAAUUCAUCUCCGGGGGUAGAGCACUGUUUCGGCAAGGG